CCGAUUUAAUUCUUCGAUUCUAAUUUCAAUGGUUCUUUAAGGAUUAGAUCGGUGAUGAACUAAUUAGGGUUUCUUCUCAUAUCAUAUGUGCUUUCUAAGUGUUUCAAUCACCACAAAUUGUUGAUCUCAACGAGCUUCGGAUGGAGCGAACACGCGUGGAUCGCGUGUGAGGCCGAGGAUUCGGUGGACGCAUCGAGGAGUCGAGGCGUUGACGCUGCGAGGAUUUGCGGCAGGAUCGAUCGAAGGACUUUGAUCGAUCGAGGACCGGCGAAGACAAUCUACAACGAGGAUUCGGUAAAUUGAGUCGUGUAUUUUCGGUAAAUCACUUGUACUCAAGUUUUCUUAGUAGAUUUCUUUAUGUGAUCGGUCCAGUGGGUUUUUCUCUCCGGAUUAGAGAUUUCCCACGUUAAAAUCUCGGUGUGUUGUUUUUAUUUUUCGCAUUCUCUUUUAAAUUGCAUCGAGUUUAUUUGUUUUUACCGUUUACACCUAUUCACCCCCUUUAGGUGUCUUUUACCUUUUAGAUCCUUGGGAUCCAUAUCUCAUAGUGCUCGAUGCAACCGGUCUCUCGGACAAGGACCGGUCCUCCAGGGUCCAGUCUCUCGAGCGAGGACCGGUUCCCGUACUCGUAAAGAGGGCUGGCCGAGAGCUCUGC
rnacentral:lncRNA from 1 species